rnacentral:rRNA from 1 species
UACGAAGGGGGCUAGCGUUGUUCGGAAUUACUGGGCGUAAAGAGCGCGUAGGCGGUCUAUCAAGUUGGAAGUGAAAUCCCAGAGCUUAACUUUGGAAUAGCUUUCAAAACUGAUAAACUAGAGAGCGAUAGAGGAUGGUGGAAUUCCUAGUGUAGAGGUGAAAUUCUUAGAUAUUCGCAAGAACACCAGUGGCGAAGGCGGCUCACUGGCCCGAUACUGACGCUGAGGUGCGAAAGCGUGGGGAGCAAACAGG